UCCGGUUUGUCACCGGCAGUCUCCUAUGAGUCCCCAACUUAAUGCUGGCAACAUAGGACGGGGGUUGCGCUCGUUGCGGGACUUAACCCAACAUCUCACGACACGAGCUGACGACAGCCAUGCAGCACCUGUCACCCGGUUCCCGAAGGCACCCUCGCAUCUCUGCAAGGUUCCGGGGAUGUCAAAAGCAGGUAAGGUUCUUCGCGUUGCAUCGAAUUAAGCCACAUGCUCCACCGCUUGUGCGGGCCCCCGUCAAUUCCUUUGAGUUUCACCCUUGCGAGCGUACUCCCCAGGUGGAAUGCUUAUCAGGUUUCCUUCGGCACUGACCCAAAAUGGGCCAACACCAAGCAUUCAUCGUUUAGGGCGUGGACUAC
rnacentral:misc_RNA from 1 species